rnacentral:rRNA from 1 species
AUGGCAACCGUCUCAAUGGACGUCGAAGCGGGAAGAGAUGACAAGAAGAAGGGGUUCCACCAAGAUCUGGUCCUAGCUUACAAGACUCUGGGGGUCAUCUUCGAUGGCCUCGUCACUUCACCUCUCUAUGUUUACCCGUCGAUGAAUCUGACCAAUCCCACCGAGGAAGACUACCUCGGGAUAUACAGCAUCAUGUUCUGGACCCUGACUCUGAUCGGUGUCAUCAAGUACAUAUGCAUAGCUCUGAACGCCGAUGAUCACGGUGAAGGUGGCACACUUGCGAUGUAUUCUCUGCUGUGCCAGCAUGCCAACAUCGACAUCCUCCCGUCCAAGAAGAUUUACAUAGAAGAAGAGGAUCUGGUCUCGAUUUGGCCUGCCGUGACCACAAGGCCAAGCAGGUUGAGGAGAUUCAUCGAGCGCAGCAUCGUCGCCAGGAGGCUACUACUCCUCACUACUAUACUGGGCAUGUUCAUGCUAAUCGGAGAUGGUAUCCUCACACGUGCUAUUUCAGUCUUGUCUGCAAUCGAUGGACUGAGAGGCCCUUUCCCGUCCGUUAAUAAACCUGUGGUGGAGGCUAUGUCUGCAGCGAUCCUCAUUGGGCUCUUCCUGCUGUAGAAGUACGACACGUCAAAAGUGAGUUUCAUAUUCUCUCCAAUCAUGGCGGCAUGGACUUUUACCACACCGAUCAUCGGCAUCUACAACAUCUGGUGCUAUUACCCUGACAUCUUCAAGGCCUUGUCGCCACACUACAUCGUUAUGUUCUUCAUGACCAACCAGAAAAGGGGUUGGCAGCUGCUCGGUGGAACUGUUCUCUGGAUCACCGGUGGUGAGGCCAUCUUUGCAGAUCUUGGACACUUUAGCAAGAGGUCUAUCCAGAUCGCAUUCCUCACCAGCAUAUACCCUUCUCUCGUGCUCACAUACGCUGGUCACACAGCAUACCUGAUCAACAACGUUGAUGACUUCAGCAACGGGUUCUACAAGUUUGUGACGCGUACAGUGUACUGGAUCACCAUGUUCAUCAUUGCGACGCUGGCAGCGAUCGUGGCAAGUCAAUCGCUAAUCUCAGCCACCUUCUCCGUCAUCAAGCAGUCGGUAGCCCUGGAGUACUUCCCCCGUGUUAAGGUGGUGCACACCUCCAGGAACAAGGAAGGGGAGGUAUACUCACCGGAAACCAACUACAUCAUCAUGAUGUUCUGUGUCGGUGCCAUCCUCGGCUUGGGCGAUGGUAAAGACAUUGGAAAUGCAUUCGGGGUGGUUUUCAUCAUGGUUAUGCUGAUCACCACCGUCCUGCUCACCCUGGUGAUGCUCAUCAUCUGGGACACACAUGUGGUGUUCGUGGCGCUCUACUUUGUGCCGUUCCCGAUCCUGGAGGGCACGUAUGUGAGUGCGGUGUGCACCAAGAUCCUCAAGGGCGGGUGGAUGCCAUUCGCGGUGUCAUUGUUGUUGGCACUCAUCAUGUUCGGCUGGUACUACGGCCGACAGAGGAAAGCGUACGAGAUGGCAAACAAGGUAACACUUGAGAGACUCGGUGAGCUCCUCGCAGGUCCGGACGUGCACCGUGUCCCGGGGCUCUGCUUCUUCUACAACAACAUGCAGGAAUGGCUCACCCCUGUGCUCGCGCACUAUAUCAGGAACAUGCGGUUGCUGCACAAGGUGACCGUCUUCCUCACGCUCCGGUACCUGCUGGUGGCCAGGGUUGAUGCCAAGGACCGGGUGCCCAUCCAGCGGCUUGGGCCCAGCGGGGUUUACUGUACAAUACAGUACGGGUAUGCCGACCCGCUCGACUUCGAGGAGGAUGACCUCUCCGGUCAGGUGGUGAACGCCAUGCAGGAGCACAUCGCUGUAGAGGAGGCCCCUUUACUUGAGGAGGCGAGGGGGGCUUGGGUGGUGCACGUCAGGGGCAAGACGAGGUUCCACGUCGGCAAAGAGACGGGCUUCUUCGACCGUAUUUUGCUUGGCUUCUACGAGUUCAUGCACAGCAUGUGCCUGUCCACACUGCCAGCUCUCGGGAUCCCCCUGCAGCAGCGCGUCGAGAUCGGCAUGCUCUACAAGGCCUGA